AUGGCGGACUCCCCCGCGCAACCCGCACCGGCCGCCGCCGCCGCCGCCGCCGCCGGGAACCCCCACAAGCGCAAGAACAAGGGGAAGGGCAACCCCAACAAGAAGAACAAGAAGCUGAAGGGCCCCGACGACGCCACCCGCCGCCGCCGCAAGCCGAGCGCCAAGUUCCUCAAGCUGCUCGAGAAGCGCGCCCGCGACUACAACUCCGACGACGACGACGAUGCCGAAGCCCGACCACGAAGGUCGCAGCCACGGCCGCCGCCGAAGCAACGUGAUGCUGCUCCCAAUGGCGACGACGACCUCAAAGAGGCCCCCUCGUCCGAGGAGGAGGCCUCCAGCUCCAGCGGGGAAUCCGACGGGGAAAGGGCGGUCACCAUGUUCCAGGAAGGCUGCAGGGCUUUCCAGGCCGCCUUCACCAAGAUCAUGGAGAAGAAGCUCGCCGACAACCCAUUGGGUCCGAUUCUGUCAGCGGACAAGAAAUUGGUCGCCGCCAAGUUGGCCGAGGAGGCGGACGAGCACAAGUCCAAGGGAGAGGCCCGCAAGGAGAAGCGCAUUGCUGCGCAGAAGGGUCAUAAAAUACCCGAGAAUGCUAUUGACAACAAAGAAAAGAUGCUUAUCAAGGUUGCAACCCAAGGAGUUGUCAGGUUGUUCAAUGAGGUGAGCAAGCGACAGACUAGGAAAGGUUUGAAUCCAUCAAGUAAAGAUGUCAAAUCUUUGGCAAAACACUCUGUACCAUCUAACGAAGGACAACAAGGCCAGGGAUCUUCCAAGUUCUCAAAGAAUAUUGGCAAAGGUGAAGAUGAGCCAGGGUGGGCCCCUCUACGUGACACAUACAUGCUUGGUUCCAAAUUGAAGGACUGGGAUAAAGCACAGGAUUCUGAUGUGGCUAAACCGAGCGAGGUCCCUUUGGACAACUUUUCUGAUGAUGAAUAG
rnacentral:rRNA from 1 species